rnacentral:rRNA from 1 species
GAUGAACGCUGGCGGCGUGCUUAACACAUGCAAGUCGAACGAAGCAUUUAGAACAGAUUACUUCGGUUUGAAGUUCUAUAUGACUGAGUGGCGGACGGGUGAGUAACGCGUGGGUAACCUGCCUUGUACUGGGGGAUAGCAGCUGGAAACGGCUGGCAAUACCGCAUAAGCGCACAAUGUUGCAUGACAUGGUGUGAAAAACUCCGGUGGUAUAAGAUGGACCCGCGUCUGAUUAGCUAGUUGGUGAGAUAACAGCCCACCAAGGCGACGAUCAGUAGCCGACCGGGGAGGGGGACCGGCCACAUUGGGACUGAGACACGGCCCAGACUCCGACGGGGGGCAGCAGUGGGGAAUUUUGCACAAUGGAGGAAACUUUGAUGCAGCGACGCCGCGUGAGUGAAGAAGUAAUUCGUUAUGUAAAGCUCUAUCAGCAGGGAAGAUAGUGACGGUACCUGACUAAGAAGCUCCGGCUAAAUACGUGCCAGCAGCCGCCGUAA